CUAUUAUAUGGUGUAGUCUUGUAUGUUUAUAGUCUUUAGAUUUGGUAGCUGAGGAAGGCAGCAGCAAGCCAUUGCCACGUGUAGUCUGCUGAACUGAGGGAGAAGUGUCUGACACCUCAUUGGCCAUUGAUGCGACACAGCUGAGGCACACCAGUUUGAGAAUGGAACUGAGACACACCCAGGAUACAACCAAGCAGAGGGCUGGUGAACAAAAGACACCUGCAGAGGCUUUAAAGGGAGAAGAUGUGUGUUGUGCAGAUGGGACACACAAAGCUCUAGCUACGCCACAGGUUCUCUGAAGAACAUUCAGCAAAAAGCAAAAGAUAUAUGGCAUAGGGAGUAGCUGGAGGCUCAUGGCCGCUGCAGUGC